AUUGAAAUGAUGAGUCCCAAAUAGAAGGAAACCCGCGUCCUAGAU
rnacentral:hammerhead_ribozyme from 1 species